CAAGGGGGAAGGCUUUGGCCCCCGCCUCGCCUGCUUUCGCUCCAAAUUUAGCAGCCAACCGGCUCCGAGGAGGACCUUCCCCAAAAGCAGCAGUCAAACUUAUUGUCUGGAGAUGCUUUGGUGAAGAAGGAUGACCAUUUAUUGAACAGCAACAGAGCUAACUGAAAAGGGGGUUUGAUCCUGCUAUGAGGGGAAGGAGUCCGCUGUCUGGAGCAGGGUCCUUAAUAAGCUUCUGGAUCUGAAAAAGACAUUGAAUUGUAGAGUUGGAAGAGGCCACAAAGACCAUUCAGUCUAUCCCCCUGCCAUGCAGGAACCCACAAUCAGAGCAUUCCUGACAGAUGGUCAUCCAGCCUCUGCUUAAAAACCUUAAGAGAAGGAGACUCCGCCAUCCUCAAAGAAAUCUCCAGUCAACAUGAUUGAGAAUAUGAGACCCUCCAGAAAGUUGGACUGCUACUUCCCAGCCAGCAUAAUCAAGGAUGAUUGUGCAAUCCAACAACAUCUGAAUGGUCAUAAACUCCUCAACUAUGGAUUCCGGUUUCUAUUUGGAAAUCUGUAAACUUAUCUUACAUCCAAAAAGCCACUUAUUAUUUCAAAAAGAAGGUUUGGAGGAGCUUAAAAGAGGCAAAACAAACCAAAAAUACCUGUUCUGUGGCACAGGUAUCAUGAACUAGCGUCUGCCACAUCAACUGGAUCAACUGUUAUCUUUAUUUGCCAACAGUAUUUAUAUAUUGUUAUCUCCCUCAUGUGAACGUGGACACGUGAGUGCCAAGGGGAAAAACGGGAAACAGGCCAUGGUUGUGGCAACUAGCUUAUUUGUCAUGUCUAUGCAAAGAUCAAGGGCAGGGAAUGGAAAGGGAUAGAGAGGACUACAGUGUCCAAAAUCCCUCAAACACCAGUCAGGGUAUUCUGGUAGUUGUGGCCUGUCAUCCAUAGACAUUUGCAGUUUUGAUUUUUUUGCAGAUUUGAUUUAAAAGGUUUCUAUCUAGGUCCUCCAGUGCAAUUCUAUAGUCUACUUCCAGUGAAGUCAACCACAGACUCAUGCUAGAAGACCUAGUAACUCCUAGAGAACUUCUAGAUCUUUCAGCUAGUAAAAGAAAAGAAAAAGGUAAAGUCUUUCCCCUGACACGAAGUCCAGUCAUGUCAGACUCUGGGGGUUGGUGCUCAUCUCUAUUUUCUAAGCUGAAGAGCUGGUGUUGUCCAUAAACACCUCCAAGGUCAUGUGACUGGCAUGACUGCAUGGAGUGUCGUUACCUUACUGCCAGAGCAGUACCUAUUGAUCUCCUCACAUUUUGCAUGUUUUCAAACUGCUAGGUUGGCAGAAGCUGGGGCUAACAGCGGGAGCUCAUGCCGCUCCUCGGAUUCAAAUCUGCGA